AGCUCUCAGAGUGUAUAUCUGUCUUGCUGUAGUUAAAAAGCUCGUAGUUGGAUCUGUGCCUUGAGAAACAGUUCACCUCUGUGUGAUACUGCUUUCCGAGGUGUAAUUCGUGGGUGUUUUCUUACGCUUACGAGAGUUACUCUGAUUAAAUCAUAGUGCUCAAUACAAGCGUUUCGCUUGAAUGUUUUUGCAUGGAAUAAUGGAAAAGGACUUCGGUUCUUUACUGUUGGUUUCGGAAUUGAAGUAAUGAUUAAUAGGGGCCAACGGGGACAUACGUAUCGUUGCGCGAAAGGUGAAAUUCAUGGACCACAGCGAGACGUUCAAUAGCGGAAGCAUUUACCAAGAAUGUCUUCA
rnacentral:rRNA from 1 species